rnacentral:ncRNA from 2 species
GUGACUGACACGGGGUGCCGCGCAGAGAGCCGGCUGAGAUCCACACCCGUUGAACCUGUCCGGUUAGCACCGGCGAAGGGAUGUCUCCUUUGGCUUCA